CAGCCGCCGCGGUAAUACCGGCGGCCCGAGUGGCGGUCACUAUUAUUGGGCUUAAAGCGUCCGUAGCCGGGUUGGGAAGUCCUCCGGGAAAUCUGGCCGCUUAACGGUCAGAAUGCCGGAGGAUACUCCCAGCCUAGGGAGCGGGAGAGGCCGAGGGUAUUCCCGGAGUAGGGGUGAAAUCCUAUAAUCCCGGGAGGACCGCCUGUGGCGAAGGCGCUCGGCUGGAACGCGUCCGACGGUGAGGGACGAAGGCCAGGGGAGCAAACCGGAUUAGAUACCCGGGUAGUCCUGGCUGUAAACGAUGCGGACUUUGUGUCGGACAAGCUAUGAGCUUGUCCGGUGCCGGAGGGAAACCGUUAAGUCCGCCGCCUGGGGAGUACGGCCGCAAGGCUGAAACUUAAAGGAAUUGGCGGG
rnacentral:rRNA from 1 species